UUUAAAUUACGGCAUAUCAAAUUACUAAAAAUGUAUAGUAAUCAGUAUUAUUCAAGUAAUGUACUUAAUAAAAAAAUAAAAAUAUAUUUAAAGUAGUUGAGUAAAGUAAAAAAUAUAUUUAAAGUAGUUGAGUAAAGUAAAAAUAUAUUAAAAGCAUUCAAUUUAGUAUUCUGUAUCUAUAAAUAUAUUAAAAAGGGUUAAUUUCAAACAACUUCCUAUAAGCAUAUCAAAAAACAAAUAUAUCCCUAUAAAGUUUAACUUUUCAUAUUUAUCUCUUCAAAAGUUCAGUGAUAUUCAUAUUUGCCCCUUUGGUUUAUUGCCGAUAGAGUGUUGCUUAUUUUUUAAUCGAAAAUAAGUGAAAUCAUAUUUUUGUCUUUACAAAUUAAUAUGUCCCUCCAAAAAUCCCUAUUGUUUGAAUUAUACAGAAGUAUCCUUCUAAAAAUCUUUAACCGUCAUUUUCUUUCUUUCUGCUAUCACAAAUAAUAUAAAGGGGUAAAAAGGUUAAUUUAUCUCAUUCACUAAUCAAGAUUAAGUAUUUUAUGUGUAGUUAACUAUAUUUUUCUGAGGAUCCUAAUAGCUGGAUAUAUUUGAAAACGUUAGAAUUUUUAUAAGAAUAAAUAUAAAGAGUUGAACUUUAUAGAAAUAUAUGUGCUAUUCAAUAUGUUUACAAGAAGCUACAUACAAUUAAUCCUAUUAAAAACUACGUAAUCAUAUCAAUAUAUUAUUUUGCGGGGAUCAAAAAUUUUGCAAGACAUGG
rnacentral:lncRNA from 1 species